UACGUAGGUGGCAAGCGUUGUCCGGAUUUACUGGGCGUAAAGAGCGCGCAGGCGGUCGUGCAAGUCGCGUGUGAAAGCCCCCGGCUCAACUAGGGAGGGUCACGCGAUACUGCUCGACUUGAAGGCAGGAGAGGGAAGUGGAAUUCCCGGUGUAGUGGUGAAAUGCGUAGAUAUCGAGAGGAACACCUGCGGCGAAGGCGGGUAGCUGGGCCGACACUGGCGCUGAAGCGCGAAAGCCAGGGGAGCGAACGGG
rnacentral:rRNA from 1 species